GAUGAACGCUGGCGGCGUGCCUAAUACAUGCAAGUCGAGCGAACAGAUGAGGAUCUUGCUCCUCUGACGUUAGCGGCGGACGGGUGAGUAACACGUGGAUAACCUACUUAUAAGACUGGGAUAACUUCGGGAAACCGGAGCUAAUACCGGAUAAUAUAUUGAACCGCAUGGUUCAUUAGUGAAAGACGGUUUUGCUGUCACUUAUAGAUGGUUCCGCGCCGCAUUAGCUAGUUGUUAAGGUAACGGCUUACCAAGGCAACGAUGCGUAGCCGACCUGAGAGGGUGAUAGGCCACACUGGAACUGAGACACGGUCCAGACUCCUAAGGGAGGCAGCAGUAGGGAAUCUUACGCAAUGGGCGAAAGCAUGACGGAGCAACGCCGCGUGAGUGAUGAAGGUCUUCGGAUCGUAAAACUCUGUUAUUAGGGAAGAACAAAUGUGUAAGUAACUAUGCACGUCUUGACGGUACCUAAUCAGAAAGCCACGGCUAACUACGUG
rnacentral:rRNA from 1 species